GGCUUUUUGAUUUAAUUUAAAGUUUGGCCUGCCCAAUGAUAAAUUUUAAUGGCCGCGGUAUUUUGACUGUGCUAAGGUAGCAUAAUCAUUAGUUUUUUAAUUGAAGACUGGAAUGAAAGGUUUGAUGAGAAAAUUACUGUCUCUAAUUAAUUUUAUUAAAUUUUAUUUUUAAGUUAAAAAGCUUAAAUUUUUUUGAAAGACGAUAAGACCCUAUAGAGUUUUAUUAAUUUUUUAUUUAAGUGGUUUGGUAAAGAUUUUAUUUAAUUAUUAAAUUAAUUAGAUUGGGGUGAUCGAAAAAUUUAUUUAACUUUUUUUUUCUAAGACGUCAAUAUUUGGUUUUUUGAUCCAUAAUUUAUGAUUAUAAGAUUAAAUUACCUUAGGGAUAACAGCGUAAUUUUAUUUGAGAGUUCUUAUCGAAAAAAAAGAUUGCGACCUCGAUGUUGGAUUAAGAUAAAAUUUUGGUGCAGUAGCUAAAAUAUUAAGUCUGUUCGACUUUUUAAAUCUUACA
rnacentral:rRNA from 1 species